rnacentral:misc_RNA from 1 species
GGAGCUUAAAUGAGGCCUUGAGAAAUUGGAUUGCUAUAGGUGUCAAAACUGUUGUUGUAGGUCUAUGACAGCCGUUUUACAACCGCUACACCUGCCUCUGCCUUAAUAGAUAAUUACAAUGGUUUUUUUUUUCAAAAGUAGUUGAAGGAACUUAAUAAAUUAUUACAACCGUUUUACAAUGAUUUUUCAAAGUAAAGUUACAAAGAAAAAAGUAGCUGAAGGAACUGCAGAUGCAAAGUGGUCAAAUGCGUAAAGGAAGACUGAAACUUUCGUACAGCAACCAACAUUGGAGCUCUUCAAGUAGAAUAACUUGGUCCUUGAACCUCUUACAAACAGAUACGAUUGCAAAUUCAAAGAAAUUAAAGUUAAUCAACUUAUGAGUUCCAAUUUCAGAAUAUAGAAUUCUGUAAAGUGAGAGUUAUUUCAAAGAAUAAUGUGUUCAGUUGUUCACCAAUUUGCAUGCAUGGAAAAGUGCAUGGUCAAUGGAUAAUACUUCAGCCAUGAUAGUCUUUGGAUUAGAAAGUAAUUCACAAUCCAAACUUCACCGAGGAAAAGUAGAUAGCAGGGUGAAAAAUUAUUAUAAAUCCAACCUGAACAACCAAUGAUUUAAAUGGAAGGGGAUUAAAAUGAAUAAAUGAUCAAUCAUUUCAAAAUCUUCACCAGCUAAGAAAACAAAAAGGGACAAAUUAAUGCAUCAGAAUUGCAUUUUGAAACUCUGAGUGACCAAGGUUCUUGAUCUGCAGAUAGAACAAAAGUUGAGCUACAUAAAUUAUCUUUCAUAACUUCUCAAACUAAAAGGGUUGAGCCACAUAAAUUAUUUUCCAAAAUCAUAAUACUUAAAAGUUGAUUCAACUCACCACCACGACCACAAAAGACCUGAGAAAUGCUGACAUCCCUAGCUUGUCACGUAUGAUCUUCAUCAUCAAGCAUGCACGAUCAAUACCAGUCCAAUAAGACACCUAACUGACUUCAUGACUUGAAUCUGAAAUCACAAUUUUGCGGUAGAACUAAGUUGUAGUAAGGAAAUCAAACAGACCUUGAUAUCUUGCAAUGAAUCAGAAUCCAAAUUAGUUACAACCUACUGCCAUCUAAUAACAGAAUAAAUGCAUUUAAAAUAAUAAAAUUAAAAUAAUAAAAUUAGUCAACAAUCAUUAUAAUCCUAUAGCAACUUGUUUAUAGGCCUAGAAUCAAAGUUUAUAGACCAGGCGAUUUCCCCUUUCCACUAUAACAGCAAAUAUGGAGCCUUCAAUGGUGGCCAUCAAGCAUAUUAGAGCUGUUAAGGAGAGCUCAACAGGGUAUGUUUUCAGUUUUAUAGCCUAUAAACCAAUCAUUAAAUAAUCAGAAAAUAUUGAAUUUAAAGGGAUAAUAAUUAAUUUCGUAAAACCAUUAAAUGUAAUGUGAUUAAAAGAAGGAUAUAUGUAACUAUUCAUUAAUUACCUGAAGGAUGAUGAAAUUAGACCAACUCAAAUCAUAAAAGCACCCUUAAUGGCAUCAUCAUGGUAUCCUACCACUGUCAAUAGAGUCCCCAAUGUCUUUGCCUGGCUAUGCAAUUUCCUCAAGUUGACCUUCUCAAGCCUGCAAGCGAGUUUCAGAAUUGGGAGGGAAUUAUUCUCAGAGCUCUGGAAUCUCCUCCAGAUCUCAGAGAUGUCUCCAUGUGUUCGGUAUAAGCCGAAUCCGCAUGACAAAAAUUCCAUAACCCAAACCCUAACAGUACCGACUUAAAUUGUAACAUUUUUUCUUAAUUUGCUGGCAACGAUUUUGAACUGCUGUACAACAGCUUUAACACUGUUGCAUAUUAACUUAAGCCUUUUAUGUGAACUCCG